rnacentral:rRNA from 2 species
CUGCGGAAGAUCAUUGU